rnacentral:rRNA from 1 species
GACGUAGGGCGCGAGCGUUGUCCGGAUUUAUUGGGCGUAAAGGGCUCGUAGGCGGUUUGUCGCGUCGGGAGUGAAAACUCAGGGCUUAACCCUGAGCCUGCUUCCGAUACGGGCAGACUAGAGGUAUGCAGGGGAGAACGGAAUUCCUGGUGUAGCGGUGAAAUGCGCAGAUAUCAGGAGGAACACCGGUGGCGAAGGCGGUUUUCUGGGCAUUACCUGACGCUGAGGGGCGAAAGUGUGGGGAGCGAACAGG